UCGGGAAUUUUGGGCAAUGGGCGCAAGCCUGACCCAGCAACGCCGCGUGAAGGAUGAAAUUUUCGGAAUGUAAACUUCGCAAGAAUGGGAAGAAUAAGGAAGAGCUAAUAACUUUUCCGAUGACGGUACCAUUUGUAAGCUCCGGCUAACUCCGUGCCAGCAGCCGCGGUAAUACGGGGGGAGCAAGCGUUGUUCGGAUUUACUGGGCGUAAAGGGCGCGUAGGCGGUUAUGACAAGUCAGUUGUGAAAUCUCCGGGCUUAACUCGGCAGCGGUCAACUGAUACUGUCAAACUAGAGUGCAGAAGGGGCAACUGGAAUUCUCGGUGUAGCGGUGAAAUGCGUAGAUAUCGAGAGGAACACCUGCGGCGAAGGCGGGUUGCUGGGCUGACACUGACGCUGAGGCGCGAAAGCCAGGGGAGCGAACGGGAUUAGAUACCCCGGUAGUCCUGGCCUUAAACGAUGAAUGCUUGGUGUCUCGGGUUAUAAAGUCCCGGGGUGCCGUCGCUAACGC
rnacentral:rRNA from 1 species